GCCAGCACAGGCUGCUAGCUGCUUCCUCCCCUGCUGCAGCUAGGCAGCUGUUUGCUUCCUAUUUUUGUCUGGAGGAGCAAGAACAUUGCUAUGGCCAUGUGAAGUUCUGUUUCCUCUGAUCACAGCAAGAGUGUCCUACGUCAGUCAGACUCAAGGGUCUUUCUUUCUCCAGGGUCAUGACCAUCUGCCCGCAGUCCUGGUUGUGAUGCUGUGCUUCUCGGUCGUGGACUGGCUGAGGGGUGGCUCCCCAGGAUGGAGCCAGCACCCCACCUUCUCAUGUUUCAGGGGCGGCUGCCAGAAGAGCUAUCAAGCCAAGCCCUGUGGCACCUUCAGCUGUAGUGGGA
rnacentral:lncRNA from 1 species